UUUGCAUCGUUUUGUCACUCU
rnacentral:piRNA from 1 species